GUACUUCUGCACUGGGCAUCUUGCACUGCAGAGAUUCCCUUGCUCAUUGCAUGUUUGAAGCAUCUUUAUCUGAUUGCUGGUGGCUCUCCAGGCAAGAAGUGAGUUGCAAGUGCAAUAGCAUGGAGAACUUCCAGGUGUAGUAUCUGGCUUGGAAAAUGCUGCCGGAGGAUUAGGCAAGUGAAAUACCUGGAGUCCCUGGUUGGUAUCUAAAAUCACAUCUGAUGCUUAGAUGAGUGAGGGGGUGGGGAAAGCUUUGCUUUAAGAACUUUUUCUCACAAAAAAAAAACCAAAGCAAAAUGCACAAAACAAAAACUCUGGGUGGGACAAAGGGGUAGAUAUUUAUAACCCUGAGGAUCAAGAAAUCAUAAGACAUCUGUUCUAUUUACUGCAUUUAAAUUUGUAUUGUUAUACAAACUCCACCUCUAGCUGUGCAGCUUCUGGAGGGACAAGUUGGUACAAAGUGAUCCUGAAAAGAUGAGAGAGAUUCCUGGAGGAGAGAUUUACAUUGCAUAUCAUCUUAUCACCAGUCUGUCCCUCUUGCUUUUUUUCUUAUCCCCGCACAGCAAAAGAGAUGAUUAAAGAGCUGGGGAUUUAAUUACAUCCAGGUAUGACUAGGGGGAAAACCCACUCUGUGAAAGGACCUUGCAACAACAAACAGAAAGUUCUCCACUUUCCUGUCUUUGAAGGAUUUAAAUCUGUGGAAGGGGGUGGGUUGGAGGGGGAAAGAAAGUGGUUAGGCUGGAGUUUGCAAAACAUACCAUCCUCUUCCCCCUGCUCAGCAAAGUGCUGCCUUCAGCAGUUUGGUCCUCACCAUCAGCUUUCCUCCCAGUCCCACUGCCCUUCUGCUCCUCUGCAAGACCUGAACUACUUCUCAAGCGCUUUCUGGCAUCCCUGUGUCAGUAAAUUACCUCCCUUUACCCUCCCACAGUUUUGCACCAUCUUCAACCUGUGUAGAAAAGCCUUAUGAUUUCUGGUGCCCACUGUGGUCUGCCCCACUGGUGCCCAUCCGCGCGUCCCAGCCCAGCCAGCACUGCGCUCGGCCUGUGAACUGCUAGACAGGCACAGUUUCAAAGGCAAGAGAUACAGGUCCACUGUGUGGGAGGCUGCCUCUGAUGUGAAUCAUGCUAUCUGCGCUAGGCAUGGGGCCCUGCAUCUUCUCUGCUUGGCUGUACCAGCUUAUCUGCACCUGCUUCUCCAACCUUUGCAUGUCUUCUCGUUUCCAAAAUGUAGGGUGAAAGGGUAUUUAUUUUAUUGCUGGGUUCUGUCAAGCUUUUGAUCAGUGCUGAUGGAAGAAUCUGUAGAAACAGUCUUGUGCCUGCUGAGCACACAGGACCAUGCGAUCAUCUGCCUAACUCCUCUAACCUCCACUGAUGAGGUUAGCUACGUGUGGGUGCCAGUCCUGCUCAGCAGUAGCUCCGUGCAGCAAGACUUCACUGUUCAAAAGCCUUCCAAAAACUAGCACCUUAAGCCUUCAAACAGCAACAGCCUUUUCCAUCCUGCAAGGGAUUCCUGAAAUUUGCUAAUGAGGUUAACAAUAAAGUGGAUAGUUGGCUCUUCU